rnacentral:rRNA from 1 species
UACGAAGGGGGCUAGCGUUGUUCGGAAUUACUGGGCGUAAAGGGCGCGUAGGCGGUGUGUCAAGUCAGGCGUGAAAGCCCCGGGCUCAACCUGGGAACCGCGCUUGAGACUGGCACGCUAGAGUUCGGGAGAGGAUGGUGGAAUUCCCAGUGUAGAGGUGAAAUUCGUAGAUAUUGGGAAGAACACCGAUGGCGAAGGCAGCCAUCUGGACCGACACUGACGCUGAGGCGCGAAAGCCAGGGGAGCAAACGGG